UCUCCCUCGCUCGAGCUCGUUCACUCACUGUCGCAAUCGCAAGCGAGGUACUGUAGAUCCUCCGGUUGUCUCGGUAUAGCAAUUCAUCUUGUGUUGACAUCUGCGAAUUGAUCUUGAGCUUCUGUAACCCGUCGAUUCCUUCUGCUAUGGCUUCUUAGGAGUUCUCGUUGCGUCUUCCUUGCUCGUACCUCCGAAAUAUCGGCGUUCGCCGAUUGCUUCGUAGUGCUAAGCGGAGAUGGCAGAAUCACCAAAGGAAACUGCAGUGGUGAAUCGGAAAGAGGAUAAAUCAUUACUAGGGAUGUCGAUUUUAACCUGGAUGCUGAUUUUGACAAGUUAUCAUCAUUCAAAGUGGACAUGCCGGAUCUUGAUUUCUCCUGUCCAUCUAAGAAAUCUCCAAACAACAAGGACAGAAAUGAAGCAGAAUCAC